rnacentral:rRNA from 1 species
AUGAACGCUGGCGGCGCGCCUAAUACAUGCAAGUCGAGCGAACGGACGAGAAGCUUGCUUCUCUGAUGUUAGCGGCGGACGGGUGAGUAACACGUGGAUAACCUACCUAUAAGACUGGGAUAACUUCGGGAAACCGGAGCUAAUACCGGAUAAUAUUUUGAACCGCAUGGUUCAAAAGUGAAAGACGGUCUUGCUGUCACUUAUAGAUGGAUCCGCGCUGCAUUAGCUAGUUGGUAAGGUAACGGCUUACCAAGGCAACGAUGCAUAGCCGACCUGAGAGGGUGAUCGGCCACACUGGAACUGAGACACGGUCCAGACUCCUACGGGAGGCAGCAGUAGGGAAUCUUCCGCAAUGGGCGAAAGCCUGACGGAGCAACGCCGCGUGAGUGAUGAAGGUCUUCGGAUCGUAAAACUCUGUUAUUAGGGAAGAACAUAUGUGUAAGUAACUGUGCACAUCUUGACGGUAUCUAAUCAGAAAGCCACGGCUAACUACGUG